GUGAGGAAUAUUGGUCAAUGGGCGAGAGCCUGAACCAGCCAAGUCGCGUGAAGGAAGAAGGAUCUAUGGUUCGUAAACUUCUUUUGCAGGGGAAUAAAGUGCGGGACGUGUCCUGUUUUGUAUGUACCCUGAGAAUAAGGAUCGGCUAACUCCGUGCCAGCAGCCGCGGUAAUACGGAGCAUCCGAGCGUUAUCCGGAUUUAUUGGGUUUAAAGGGUGCGUAGGUGGUUUGAUAAGUCAGCGGUGAAAGUUUGCAGCUUAACUGUAAAAAUGCCGUUGAAACUGUCGGACUUGAGUGUAAAUGAGGUAGGCGGAAUGCGUGGUGUAGCGGUGAAAUGCAUAGAUAUCACGCAGAACUCCGAUUGCGAAGGCAGCUUACUAAGCUACAACUGACACUGAAGCACGAAAGCGUGGGGAUCAAACAGGAUUAGAAACCCCGGUAGUCC
rnacentral:rRNA from 1 species